UACGUAGGGGGCUAGCGUUAUCCGGAUUUACUGGGCGUAAAGGGUGCGUAGGCGGUCGGGUAAGUCUGAUGUGAAAUCUCACAGCUUAACUGUGAAACUGCAUUGGAUACUAUCCGGCUUGAGGAAUGGAGGGGAGACUGGAAUACUUGGUGUAGCAGUGAAAUGCGUAGAUAUCAAGUGGAACACCAGUGGCGAAGGCGAGUCUCUGGACAUUUCCUGACGCUGAGGCACGAAAGCCAGGGGAGCAAACGGG
rnacentral:rRNA from 1 species